CUCUUGCUCCCCGCUGCGGCCCUCCCCCUCCCUCUCUGCUCUCUCCCUCCGCGCCGCCGCCUCCCCUCCCUUUCUCCCUCUCUGCCAGCCUUGGUCGCCCCUCCCCGCCGGCGCUCCUCCUGCCUUCUGCCGCCGCUCGCUACCAUAGGAUCCAGAUCCGGCGCGAGUUUGGCUGGGAGGGAGAGGAGGCGAUCUUGGCUAGAUCCGCGAUGGCCUGGCAGCUCGGGAGCCGCGCGGCUCCUCGACCUCCUCGACGUGGCUGACACCGGCUUCAAUGCACGGGCAGCGCUCCCCUCGCCGCGGCCACCGCCGCACUCCGCGUCACCUCUUCUAUAGCCCCGAUGACCGUAUGCCCCUCCGUGCGGAGCUCGCGUCUUGGAGAUAGAGUAAUCUUUGAUCCAUGUUUUCUUCUUGUACAACCACGAUAAGCAUUGGAUCUGACUCCAAUCUUCCCUUGCGGUGGGCUAUGGCCCUGUGCUUUCCCUCUCCAUGGCCUAGCACAUCCGCUCCGGCCCCAUGGUUCCGACUGUAGCGGCGCUCCCCGUAUCCUGCCCCCGCCGGUCCUGACACCUCUCCGGCAACGUUGGCCUCCGCAGGCUCACGCGCAAGCAGCCUCGCGUAGGCACCGGUGCGACGGUGCCAAAGGACAGGAUAAAUACAACGCCCUCCAUGGCUAUGGCCUACAGUGGCCUUCACCUGGCAUGGUGCCCUCGAGUUGCAGCUUCUUGCCGGCCAAGUGGAGCUACUGGCCAAUGGCGGGGAAGAGAUCGUGUAGUCCCGCUGCCGCAGUUGACGCCCCUUUGCCAACUAUCGUGUGUGGAGUCCAAUAAUGCUAAGGCUUUGAUAGUUGUUCUGAUAACAUAUCCAAGAAUGUUGAUUAAGAUCAUCUGGAAGAAUGAGCUACUCAGCGCUAGCGCCCCCGGGGCAUGAGCAGGUGUCGCGCCUUGCUGGGUAUUAUUGUCUCCUGGAGCUACUCUGGUCGGUCGUGAUGGACCAGAUAGCACUAGAGAUUCUCUUGGCCUCCUUUCUUCUUAAGCAUGCUAUAUUUUUUGUUAAAUUAGGUGUGACAACUGGAAUCAUGUUCUCUUCUGGUUGAUAAAUUAAAUUGGAUGUUUUGGUGCAGAAAUAAAAAAAAGUCAUAGUUACCGAUUACCAUCUUUCUUUAUAAAUGUCUUGCUCUUUCAGGUGUCUUUGCUACUUCUUUUAAUUGCUGAACUAUUUCAGACAUUCAGGAGCACAUGAGAUUUGUUCAGACAUCUAUCCUUAGCUCCUCAAGUACUUGCAAACAACUUGAGAAUUGUGCAUACUCAUGCUGCCCUAAUGGAACAUUCAAACUAAAGAAUGUUCACUUGCACCACAUGGAUAUAUUGUGAGGAUUUCCUGUUUUUAAAAAUUAAAUAUUGUAUAUGUUCGUCCAUCAGAUGAGCAAUUGUAUAUGUUCAACUGAUGACUUCUUUACUUUUUGCCAUUCACAUUGGUGCACAGGAAAAUACAGUACACAAGAAAGAGGUUGGCCUCACUAAAAUGAUAAUUUUAAUAUUAGUUUGCCCAAAAAAAGUAUACUGGAAACAACUACUCUAUCAAAUGAGUUUUGUUAAUGUAUACAGGGGCUCCAAGUUUUAUGAGGUCUAGAACUGAAUAGUUUUUUGUGCCUGUACAUAUUGAUGACAAAUUUACUUCAUUCAAUUUAUUUGUACGCAGCAGGUGAAGGUGAUCAUGUUCUGUCCAUUUGAUUCCGGAAUCUCAUUACAUAUGCCUACAGUGGGAAGAAACUCAUAUUGGUGUAUUUCUAUUUCUACAUAUGCCAUUGAAUACUGGAUAUCAGCAUUAUAUACUCAGAAAUUUCUGCUUCAAAGUAUCAUGGCAUACAUGUUGAUUAUAUUGAUGAGCUACAACAUGAUUUUAUU